AUGAACGCUGGCGGCGUGCCUCAUACAUGCAAGUCGAGCGAACAGACGAGGAGCUUGCUCCUCUGACGUUAGCGGCGGACGGGUGAGUAACACGUGGAUAACCUACCUAUAAGACUGGGAUAACUUCGGGAAACCGGAGCUAAUACCGGAUAAUAUAUUGAACCGCAUGGUUCAAUAGUGAAAGACGGUUUUGCUGUCACUUAUAGAUGGAUCCGCGCCGCAUUAGCUAGUUGGUAAGGUAACGGCUUACCAAGGCAACGAUGCGUAGCCGACCUGAGAGGGUGAUUGGCCACACUGGAACUGAGACACGGUCCAGACUCCUACGGGAGGCAGCAGUAGGGAAUCUUCCGCAAUGGGCGAAAGCCUGACGGAGCAACGCCGCGUGAGUGAUGAAGGUCUUCGGAUCGUAAAACUCUGUUAUUAGGGAAGAACAAAUGUGUAAGUAACUAUGCACGUCUUGACGGUACCUAAUCAGAAAGCCACGGCUAACUACGUG
rnacentral:rRNA from 1 species